CGGGUGAGUAACACGUGAGCAACCUGCCCUAGGCUUUGGGAUAACCCUCGGAAACGGGGGCUAAUACCGAAUAGGACCUCCUGUCGCAUGGUGGGGGGUGGAAAGUUUUUCGGCCUGGGAUGGGCUCGCGGCCUAUCAGCUUGUUGGUGGGGUGAUGGCCUACCAAGGCGACGACGGGUAGCCGGCCUGAGAGGGCGACCGGCCACACUGGGACUGAGACACGGCCCAGACUCCUACGGGAGGCAGCAGUGGGGAAUAUUGCACAAUGGGCGGAAGCCUGAUGCAGCGACGCCGCGUGAGGGAUGACGGCCUUCGGGUUGUAAACCUCUUUCAGCAGGGACGAAGCGCAAGUGACGGUACCUGCAGAAGAAGCGCCGGCCAACUACGUGCCAGCAGCCGCGGUAAGACGUAGGGCGCGAGCGUUGUCCGGAUUUAUUGGGCGUAAAGAGCUCGUAGGCGGCUUGUCGCGUCGACUGUGAAAACCCGCAGCUCAACUGCGGGCCUGCAGUCGAUACGGGCAGGCUAGAGUUCGGUAGGGGAGACUGGAAUUCCU
rnacentral:rRNA from 1 species